CCCUCUGAGUGAAGCCUUAACACAGGUUUAGAGAAACAUCUGUUUCUCUUGCUCCUGACAAAAUUAGACUGGCCUCCAGUUUAGACCCUCAUCUCCUAGACAGCAAGGUUUGUGAGUAUAUCCUUUAUACCCCAGGCAGAGUGGAGGCCUCAGUCAGCAAGCCUCCUGUGGCUGACCACCAAUGUCAAAUCCAUUUGGCUCACCAUCCUCCUUGUAGCCAAGACUAGAGAAUCAACUAAAAGCAUUGUUUUGGGACAAAUAAAAAUGAAGCCACAACUUCCUUUCCCAGGAAACAGUCUCUAUGCCCACUUAGCCCAUGCUUCUGGGCUUUGAUCACCAUGGGAGGAUCACAGGACUUCAAGAAUUUCUGUAGACACCAACCCUUGUAGUUGGGUUCCUUGGAACAAAUUCCUGAGCCUCCAGGUCAGCCUCUUAAAGAUGGCUUAGCCGCUGGAUAAGGCAAGUGAAGAAUGGUAAGAAAGGAAGCACCACCAGUAGAAAAAGAAGUGUCAGAGGCCUGGAGCCACAGUCGUCACUUCUGGCCCCACAACCUUGCCUCAAGGCAGCUAUGUCUUAGAAUGGGACAUGAGACUGGCACUUGGUAACAGGCUGGUGACUGGCUUGGUCCAGUGGCCUGCUUUUGUUCUUUGAGGUCCUUCUGCCUCCCUCCACUGCCUGCCUUCCAAUUCCUCAAGAGGUUAGCAAAGUCAUUUGGGUUGGAGGGGACACAGGCAAGAGAUAUGACAUCCAAACAAACAAACAAACAAACAAACAAACAGGGUCUCAUGUAGCCCAGGCUAGUCUUGAAUGCAUAUAUAGCUAGGUCGAUAUUGAACUUCCAUUCUUCCUGCUUUUCCCUCCUGAUUGCCGGGGUUACAAGUGUGAGUCACCGUGUCUAAUUUAUUCAUACUGUCCUGGUCAUUGAACCUAGAGUCUUCUGCAUGCCAGGCAAGCACGCUACCAACCUGAGCUACAUCCUCAGCCCCAAAGAAUGUUCAUGUAUGUUUUUUGUGCACACAGAAGAACCAUUUCACAGAGAAAGGCUAUCAUCAGUCCUUUCUGCCUAUCCAGCUAGACACCAGUUUCUUCCAGGAAAAAGAAACAAAGAUAAAACAUGUAAAUUGAUCAGUCACAGAUGGACCUUGCUGAUCAACAUCACCUGCUUCUGGAGAAAGAUCCUUGUUUUAUUUGACUUUCAGGAAUGGGCAGAAAAGGCCACUGGAAAAAGAUUUGGUCUUUCUGCAUAUGGACAAAGGAUUCAUGGUUUUCUGAGGAGAGGACUAACAGAGAAGACUCCUGGCCUACUCUGGAUGGAUGUCCAGGAAUGGGCUGGGAAGAGGUUAGGGGUUGGUUCCUGUUGUGGCCCGGCAUGUCUCAGCCCCAAGCCACGGUAGCCAGGAGGUUCAGCCUGAGUGGGGGAGCAUGGACUUGGAAACUCUUAGCAACCUAAUGGCGAUAAAGACCAAACACAGGCAUCUUGUCAUCUUUAGAGAGCUCUCAGUUCCAUGCUGCAAAACUGGAGUCUGACAGCCUUCCACAACGAGACACUCAACUUUUACUGAGACACCUCCCUGAGAGGCCUUGAAGUAGACCACGCCCUCUUUGACUCUCAGUCACCCAGGGGAAGAUGGGAGCCACUUGGCAUUCAUCCAGACCCAGGAGUGAAUGGAGGAAACAUCUGGAGACCCUUCCUGUGUCCCUUGGAGAGACUGUGUAACAGUUGGCUCUAUUUGGGGCAUUUCAAGAUGUGUGGUGCAAGAGACACACCUCAGACUUCCAGAGGCAGAAGGCAAAGGUCAAGAGUCAGUAUUCUCUCUGAGGAGAUGCCAAUGGAUUCCAGUUCUGCCUGGUUUGUGACUAGAAGUGACCUUCGCUGCCUGGUACUGAAGGACACCAGGAGCCCAGCCUCCUGAAGCAGCAAGACCUUUUGCUCAUGGAAAGGCUGAGGUGCAGCCAGCCUCAGUACCCAGGAAGGCUCUUCGGGACAGACUAGCCCAUAUCAGCCUUUGAUGUUUCCUUUCUUAAUGGAGAUGGUGUAUCUUACCAGCUUCCCAUUCAAACAUACAGCAUGAGACGGGCGGGAUGACUCAGUGGAUAAGAGUGCUUGCUGCCAAGCCCGAUGACCUGUGUUCUACACAGCGAAAGGAGAAAACUAACUCUCCGGAUUUGUUCUCUGACCUCCACACAACACACAGAGAGAAAUAAAUGUAAUAAAAAACUUAAAAUAUAUGCAGUUCUUCCUUAUCUGCAGAGUAUCCAGUGGACAGGACCAAUUCUUUGUAUGUAAUGUGCUUUUGUCUUAUAUGAAAAUGCUAUGGGCUGGAGGAUAAGCCACUGCAUAGAGUGCUUGCCUAGCACACAAAAAGCCUUGGCUUUAAGUCCCAACACUGCAUAAAACUGAGAACAGCAACUCAAUGCCUAUAAGCCCUGAGGUCAAAGGUAGAGACAGGAGCAUCAGAAACUCAAGAUCAACCUUGGCUACUAUGUGAAUUUGAGGCCAGCCUGGAUUACAUGAGAUGAUGUCUCAAAGCCAACACACACACACACACACACACACACACACACACACACACACACACCCCUAUGAAUAGAUACUUAUGGUACAUUUAAUUUAUAAAUUGGGUGCUGUAAUAUAUUAGUUAAUAGUAAAAUAAAGCAAUCAAUUGAUCUUGCUGUGACAGUCCAUAAAGGAAAGUACAGUCUUGGCAUUGUCCUAUGAACAAUUUUUGAUUGUAUCUAACCUCAAUAGCUGAAACCACAGAAAGAGAAUCCUAGUCUGCAGGGUGCCAGGUAUAAUCCAAGUGAUAUGGGCUCUAUGCAUGGACACAUUCCAGAUUUGUGUCAAAGCUAAACUGAGAAUGGCUUGUUCUCAAGAUCCCAGCUCCUGGAAGAUUUCUCUUCUGUUAAGUGUGUGGGGGACAGGGUAUUAGAGGGUAUUAGAGAAUGAAAUACAUAGG